CUGCUGCCUUCCGUAGGAGUCUGGGCCGUGUCUCAGUCCCAGUGUGGCUGGUCGUCCUCUCAGACCAGCUACUGAUAGUUGCUUUGGUGAGCCGUUACCUCACCAACCGGCUAAUCAGUCAUCGGCCGCUCCGCUCGCGAGAGGCCCUUGCGGGUCCCCCUCUUUCUUCCGUAGAACUCAUGCGGUAUUAGCCAACCUUUCGGCUGGUUGUCCCCCACGAGCGGACACGUUCCGAUGUAUUACUCACCCGUUCG
rnacentral:rRNA from 1 species